rnacentral:ncRNA from 1 species
CAAUACUUUGGUCCUGAGUAUACUAUUAUCUAUCUAAAGAAUUACACAUGCUAGUCUCCGCAUCCCAGUGCCAAAAUUCAUAAAAACUGUAAAUCAGAUAUGAAAUUGAUAUCAGGUACGCCAAAUUAGGCAGCCAAUGACGUCCAGCACCGCCACACCCCCACGGAAUUCAGCAGUGAUAAACAUUAAGCCAUGAGCUAAAGCUCGACUUAAUCAAAACGAAUAUGAGCCGGGAAACUUCGUGCCAGCCACCGCGGUUAAACGUAGGGCUCAAGAUAAUUUUAAUCGGCGUAAAGUGUGAUCAGAGCAAAACUUUUAAGAUUAUAGAACUAUAAUAUAGUGAUAAAAUACACAUAUUAAAAGACUUCCCAACAAUAAUCUAUUAGCAUAAACUUCAUUCACGAACGCUGGAACACAAACUAGGAUUAGAUACCCUACUAUGCCAGCCGUAAACUUAAGCAAAUCUUACUAAUUUGCUUCGCCAGAAUAUUACACGCGAAAGCACAAAACUCAAAGGACUUGACGGUGUUCCAUAUCUCCCUAGAGGAGCCUGUCCUAUAAUCGAUAAUCCACGCUAUACCUCACCCACUUUUGCCUGAUCAGCCUAUAUACCGCCGUCGUCAGCCCAUCUAAUGAUAGUACCAAAAUGGGCAUAAGUGUCUCCCACCAAAACGUCAGGUCAAGGUGUAGCUAAUAAGUGGGGUUGAGAUGGGCUACAUUUUUUAACUUAAAAAAUACCGAAAGGAACAUGAAAAUACUACCUAUGAAGGUGGAUUUAGUAGUAAAUAUGCGCAAGACAUGCCAUAUUGAAAUUCGCUCUGGAACGCGUACACACCGCCCGUCACCCCCCUCGACAAACAACAGAUACUUCACAUAGAACAACUGGCUAAAAAAGAGGGGGCAAGUCGUAACAUGGUAAGCGUACUGGAAAGUGCGCUUGGAAAAC